UCUGCUCCCCCACAUCCCGCCAGGACCAAGCACCAGUCACUACCCAGCAAAACCCGAGGAGCUCCCAUCUGUCGGCCAAGGGAAGAGGUCUACCUAGGACCACUGUGUAGACUCAGAGUGCAAGGAUGCCUGGUGGCGAGAAAGGGAAGAGGGGGAGACGCAGGGAUUGGGGAGACGGCGGGAGACAGUUACCGGAAACCCUCCACUUUCAAAGUCCUGAUUUCUGGAGCCUGGCUAAGAUCAACAGAUUCCCAACCUCGGUUUUGUUCAGACUGAGAGCCGCUCUAACCUCCUUCCAUCAGAGAACCAUCCAGAAACCUCUAUUCAAUAAGUGCUUUAGAGUAAAAGAACAUGUUUAUGAACGCACACUUUAAAAAAGGAAAUGAACCAAAACAUAGGAUUCUGGCUUACCUUGUAGACAUGGUCGCCAAGCUGUGAACGAACUAAGUGGUUGUCAGAUAUUCUUUUUUAAAUGAAUACAUAUUGCAAAAAAAAAAAUACCUCUUCAAAAUAAUCCAGGAAAAAUGUUUAUGAUAGCCUGCACUGUGGGUUCAUGGUGAACUUGUCCUGUCCCAAACUAAGUUUCUUACCUUCUUCUCCGGUAGCAGUCUUGUCCACGCUGAUUCAUGGCGGUUCUUCUCUUCGGAUUGUUCAUCCUGUUUUCCUCGUGUGCUCCAUCCAAUCAGGAACUCCUGCUAGCUCCAUUUUCACAACGUACCUACUCUUACUUCCUUGGUCUUAGCCCCAAGUGAUCACUGCUAACCUUUGACAUUGUCUCCCCGACUAGAAUCAACGGCGCAAAGCUGAUUGUCACUGUGUGUCUAUUGAUCUGUAGCGGAAUGGAUUGCAUGGAACCCCAGAAGGGCCUUUGACCCAAGAGGAUAAACAAGAAAGGAGUUAGAGGAUGUCGAGAGUCACUAUCCCCUAACUUGCUGCCACGGCCAAGGCCAACGUAAAACAAGACUCUGACCCAGGAGUGCCAACAGCCAGCGGAGGCCAGCAGGAGCCUGGGCAGGUGCGCUGGGCGGGUGCCUCGGGUCAACACAAUUUACU